rnacentral:rRNA from 1 species
GCCUGGCGGCUUUAGCGCGGUGGUCCCACCUGACCCCAUGCCGAACUCAGAAGUGAAACGCCGUAGCGCCGAUGGUAGUGUGGGGUCUCCCCAUGCGAGAGUAGGGAACUGCCAGGCA